rnacentral:rRNA from 1 species
AUGGCGUCGUCGGCGUUCAAAUCCUCCACCCGCCGCAACCUCCACGGCUCAGCCGACCGCCCCGUUCAGCCACCGCCCCACUGCCCCCGCCGCUCCCGCAGCGUCACCCCUGCGCCCCGCCGCGACCGCCUCCUCGGGGAUUACGCCGGCACCACCCGCACCAACCCGCUCUUCGACCGCGGGGGGAGGCCCUCCUCUCCACCUCCGCCGCCGGAGGACUCGGGGGACAGAGGGAGGAAGGAGAGCAGGGGUCGCGGCUCAGGGAGGGCGCGGUCGGUGUCCGUCGCGCCGCCGCAGCGUCGGCGCGCUGCCACCUCGGCGCCGUCGUCGGCAGGCACUGAUGGCGGUGGUGGAGGCAGGGCUUCGCGGGCGCGGUCGGUGGUCGGUGAGGCACGGCCGUGCCGUGGCUCCGUGACAGAUGUAGAAACCGUGGAUUUAUCAAGCAAAAUGCAGUCUUGGAGGAGUCGUAAUUCAGUUCCAAGUUCGUCAUACGUAUCUGUCAAUGCCAUCUCACAAAGGAGCCAUUCAACUGUCCCAGUGGAACAAGUUCUGGAAAUUCCUCCUGAGUUCGAUCCGGAUUCUGCUGAGUUUGUCUCGGAUAUAAGUGAUUAUGCAACAGAAUUCAAACGGAGAGAUGUUUUGGAAAUUCCUCUUGAGUUUGAUCCAGAUGCUACUCAGCUGGUUUCAGUCGAAAGGCACAAUGCGACCAAGCUGCAAUGGGAGGGAAUAGAAAUCCCUCUUGAGUUUGAUCCAGAUUCUGUUGAGCUGGCUCCUGACAUCACUGAGUACACAUCAAAACUGAAACAGUCACAUGAGCGUGCUCGAAAGCUGCGGGCAGAUUUGGCUGUUGAAGAGCAGCGCGAACAAGAACUGAGUAGAAUGCUAAAGGGCAUAGUAACUGUUCCAAGUUUGUCCGAAACGCAUAAAAGGCGACCAAGGAGAAAGAGUAGUAUAGAGCGAUUGAGAGUGUCAAGGCAUUUGGCUGAAGAGGCAAUCAGUUACUUCGAGGAGUGUGUUUCAAUUUCAACAUUAGAUAGCACUGAUUUCUCCUCACUCGAGGAACCUCAUCAGAAUUCAGGUGGAACUGUCCCACGAAAGAGCAACAGUAGAUUUCUCCUCAAAGGGGGAUCAAGCUCUUUAGAAUCCCACUUUCCAACUGAUCGACAGAAUUAUAAUGAGGAACCUGACAACCAAACCCAGUGCUCAAUGAGCAUCACUGGAUCUGAUGUGUCUGACAGUGUUAUCUUUAGUCAUGCCAAGUCCCCUGGUUUGGGAACUAGAAACAAUUCUAGUGAUGAUUUUGACACACCACGAAGCAAAAGUUCUUGUUUCUCUUUCACACAUGAGCCAGUGAAAGCUGUCGACAAUUGUGAUAUUCGUCAAUAUCUAAGGAGUUUCAGCAGAGUAAUCAGCAAAGAGACGUCAAAUUAUUGUGCCGAUGACUAUGCUGUCCAGAAAGUGAGCGAGAACAGACUAACAGACAUGGUGGCCUUUAAGAACCGGAUAGAAUAUGGGGGCCUUGUUCUUUGUAAUAUCAGAACAUUCUGA